rnacentral:lncRNA from 1 species
UAGAGUCAUUAAGUUUUGCUGUCCUGGUACCUAAGGAGGAAUGCUUUCACCAGGGAACCCAUCUAUCGUUCUGUUACAUUAAGAGAAGUUUGGGAGCCACAGUCCAAAUGAAGAAAAUCAAGUCUCCUUAUGUCAUUUGGCUGUAUAAUCAAGAAGAUGAGUGGCAAAUAAAUUAUGUUUUGUGUUUUUGAAGCAGGAGACAGACCAAAUGGAGGGCCAGAACUUACAGAUCCAGAAGUUCUCACUUUCAGAUGGCUGGAGUGCAAUGGCAUGAUCUUGGCUCCCUACAACCUCCGCCUCCUGGAUUCAAGCAAUUCUGCCUCAGCAUCCCGAGUAGCUGGAACUACAGGUGUGUGCCACCACACCUGGCUAAUUUUUGUAUUUUUAGUAGAGACAGGGAUUCGCCAUGUUGACCAGGCUGGUCUCGAACUCCUGACCUCAGGAGAGAGAGCUUGAGGAAGAGGACUUUAUUAUCCAAGGAGAGGAAAUCAAGAAACUAAGUGCCAAGAAUGCUGUGAGAAUCAUCAGUGUGUAUAAUGAAGUUGCAGUUAAGACAGAAGCAGUAUCCAUAGGAUUAGUACGUUGAGCCAAGGACUAAAC